AUUGAACGCUGGCGGCAGGCCUAACACAUGCAAGUCGAACGGUAACAGGAAGAAGCUUGCUUCUUUGCUGACGAGUGGCGGACGGGUGAGUAAUGUCUGGGAAACUGCCUGAUGGAGGGGGAUAACUACUGGAAACGGUAGCUAAUACCGCAUAACGUCGCAAGACCAAAGAGGGGGACCUUCGGGCCUCUUGCCAUCGGAUGUGCCCAGAUGGGAUUAGCUAGGAGGUGGGGUAACGGCUCACCUAGGCGACGAUCCCUAGCUGGUCUGAGAGGAUGACCAGCGACACUGGAACUGAGACACGGUCCAGACUCCUACGGGAGGCAGCAGUGGGGAAUAUUGCACAAUGGGCGCAAGCCUGAUGCAGCCAUGCCGCGUGUAUGAAGAAGGCCUUCGGGUUGUAAAGUACUUUCAGCGGGGAGGAAGGGAGUAAAGUUAAUACCUUUGCUCAUUGACGUUACCCGCAGAAGAAGCACCGGCUAACUCCGUG
rnacentral:rRNA from 1 species